AACGGUCUAUACCUGCGGUACCUGCGGAAGGAUCAUUACCGAGUUUACAAAACUCCCAAACCCUUUGUGAACCUUACCUAUCGUUGCUUCGGCGGGAACGCCCCGGCGCCCUCGCGGCCCGGAACCAGGCGCCCGCCGGAGGCCCCAAACCCUCAUGUCUUUAGUGGUUUCCUCCUCUGAGUGACAUAAACAAAUAAAGUAAAAACUUUUAACAACGGAUCUCUAGAUCGGAAGAGCACA
rnacentral:misc_RNA from 1 species